rnacentral:rRNA from 1 species
CCUACGGGUGGCAGCAGUGAGGAAUAUUGGUCAAUGGACGAGAGUCUGAACCAGCCAAGUAGCGUGAAGGAUGACUGCCCUAUGGGUUGUAAACUUCUUUUAUAUGGGAAUAAAAUGUUCCACGUGUGGGAUUUUGUAUGUACCAUAUGAAUAAGGAUCGGCUAACUCCGUGCCAGCAGCCGCGGUAAUACGGAGGAUCCGAGCGUUAUCCGGAUUUAUUGGGUUUAAAGGGAGCGUAGGUGGAUUGUUAAGUCAGUUGUGAAAGUUUGCGGCUCAACCGUAAAAUUGCAGUUGAAACUGGCAGUCUUGAGUACAGGAGAGGUGGGCGGAAUGCGUGGUGUAGCGGUGAAAUGCUUAGAUAUCACGAAGAACUCCGAUUGCGAAGGCAGUUCACUGGACUGCAACUGACACUGAGGCGCGAAAGUGGGGGUAUCAAACAGGAUUAGAUACCCCUGUAGUC